rnacentral:rRNA from 1 species
CCGUCGUCUAAGGUCCCGAAGCGUGUGCUAAGUGGGAAAGGAUGUGGAGUCGCAUAGACAGCCAGGAGGUUGGCUCAGAAGCAGCCAUCCUUGAAAGAGUGCGUAACAGCUCACUGGUCUAGUGGUUCCGCGCCGACAAUGUAGCGGGGCUCAAGCACACCACCGAAGACGCGGCAGCAAUCUUCAUGGUUGCUGGGUAGGAGAGCGUCCUGCGAGGGGCGAAGCGGCCGGGUAACCGUGCCGUGGACUUCGUGGGAGUGAGAAUGCAGACAUGAGUAGCGAGAGACGGGUGAGGAUCCCGUCCGCUGGAUGACCAAGGGUUCCGGGGCCACGUUCGUCGUCCCCGGGUGAGUCGGGUCCUAAGGCGAGGCCGACAGGCGUAGUCGAAUGGAUGAACGGGUGGAUAUUCCCGUACCGACCAUGGACCGGCAAAACCGAGACGGUGAGUACUAACCUCCGCCUCGUGGUGGUUCCUUCCUUCGGGUUGGUCCCGCCGCGUGGUGUUGGGAGCGUAGCCGUAGUAGGUCAGCGCAGGGGUGACACGGAAUGGGAGCCGGCCGCGGAGGUGGUUUUCCGUGGUCAAGCACGCAGCCAGUCAUGUAGGCAAAUCCGCAUGGCGCGCAUGGCGAGGUGUGAUGAUGGGAGCCGUUAUGGCUCGAUAUCCGGUUGUCCAGGCCGUCGAGAAAAGCCUCGGCGUGAGGGCCAUGGCCGCCCGUACCCCAAACCGACACUGGUGGUCAGGUAGAGAAUACCAAGGCGAUCGAGCGAAUCCUGGUCAAGGAACUCGGCAAAUCACUCCCGUGCCUUCGGUAUAAGGGAGACCCGCUGGGGUGAACCGGCUAGCCCGGGGAGCUUUGGUGGGUGGCACAGACCAGGGGGUAGCGACUGUUUACCAAAAACACAGGUGCAUGCGAAGGCGAAAGCCGCUGUAUAUGCACUGACGCCUGCCCGGUGCCGGAAGGUUAAGAGGAUCCGUCAGCCUUCGGGUGAAGCGGUGAAUUCAAGCCCCGGUAAACGGCGGUGGUAACUAUAACCAUCCUAAGGUAGCGAAAUUCCUUGUCGGGUAAGUUCCGACCUGCACGAAUGGCGUAACGACUUCCCCACUGUCUCGACCAGGAGCUCGGCGAAAUUGCAGUACGAGUAAAGAUGCUCGUUAAGCGCAGAAGGACGAAAAGACCCCGGGACCUUUACUAUACCUUGGUAUUGGCGUUAGGCGCGGAUUGUGUAGCAUAGGCGGGAGGCUUCGAAGCGGGUGCGCCAGCAUUCGUGGAGCCGCAAGGUGAAAUACCGCUCUGUUCGCAUUGGAUGUCUAACCUCGAACAGUCAUCCUGUUCAGGGACAGUGCCUGGCGGGUAGUUCAACUGGGGCGGUUGCCUCCCAAAGAGUAACGGAGGCGCUCAAAGGUCCGCUCAGCCCGGUUGGCAAUCGGGUGUCGAGUGUAAUCGCACAAGCGGGCUUGACUGCGAGGACGACGGUCCGAGCAGGGACGAAAGUCGGAGAUAGUGAUCCGGUGCCGGCGCACGGGCGCGGCAUCGCUCAACGGAUAAAAGGUACUCCGGGGAUAACAGGCUGAU